rnacentral:rRNA from 1 species
GAUGAACGCUGGCGGCGUGCCUAAUACAUGCAAGUCGAACGCAUUGUGGUUGAAAUGAUAUGAAGAACUUGUUCAGAUUUGAUUUUCAACAUUGCAAUGAGUGGCGAACGGGUGAGUAACACGUGGGAAACCUACCUCUUAGCAGGGGAUAACAUUUGGAAACAAAUGCUAAUACCGUAUAAUAAUUAAAACCGCAUGGUUUUAGUUUAAAAGAUGGUCUUGCUAUCACUAAGAGAUGGUCCCGCGGUGUAUUAGUUAGUUGGUGAGGUAAUGGCUCACCAAGACAAUGAUACAUAGCCGAGUUGAGAGAACUGACCGGCACAAUGGGACUGAGACACGGCCCAUACUCCUACGGGAGGC